ensembl:snoRNA
UGGCACUGUCUUUGAACCUUUGUAGCCGUCUCUAUGGCUUCACAGGCCAAGCUACAGUGCAAAAUUAAAAGUUUGUUAUAACUGGGGCUUCUUGGCUUUCCAACACCAAGUUGCUCUUUUAAAAGCAAACUACAGUU